rnacentral:rRNA from 1 species
UACAGAGGUCUCAAGCGUUUGUUCGGAUUCAUUGGGCGUAAAGGGUGUGUAGGUGGCGCGCUAAGUCGGGUGUGAAAUUUCGGAGCUUAACUCCGAAACUGCAUUCGAUACUGGCGUGCUCGAGGACUGGAGAGGAGACUGGAAUUCAUGGUGUAGCAGUGAAAUGCGUAGAGAUCAUGAGGAAGACCAGUGGCGAAGGCGGGUCUCUGGACAGUUCCUGACACUGACGCUGAGGCGCGAAAGCCAGGGGAGCAAACGGG